GUUUCUGUAGUGUAGUGGUUAGCAUGUUUACUUAAUGUGUAAAAGGCCUCUGGUUUGAAUCCAGGCAGAAACA